CCUACGGGUGGCAGCAGUGAGGAAUAUUGGUCAAUGGGCGAAAGCCUGAACCAGCCAAGUCGCGUGAGGGAUGAAGGUUCUAUGGAUCGUAAACCUCUUUUAUAGGGGAGUAAAGUACGGUACGUGUCCCGUAUUGUAUGUACCUUAUGAAUAAGGAUCGGCUAACUCCGUGCCAGCAGCCGCGGUAAUACGGAGGAUCCGAGCGUUAUCCGGAUUUAUUGGGUUUAAAGGGUGCGUAGGCGGCUUGUUAAGUCAGGGGUGAAAGUCUGGGGCUCAACCGUAGAAUUGCCGUUGAAACUGGGAGGCUUGAGUACAGUAGAGGUAGGCGGAAUGCGUGGUGUAGCGGUGAAAUGCUUAGAUAUAACGAAGAACACCGAUUGCGAAGGCAGCUUACUAGACUGUAACUGACGCUGAUGCUCGAAAGCGUGGGGAUCAAACAGGAUUAGAUACCCCAGUAGUC
rnacentral:rRNA from 1 species